ACAUAUCCCUUUUUAUAUUCAAGCCAUUCCCUUGAUUUAUGCAAAACUAGGCUACCCAAAAUUUAUGGACAACUCCCAUUGCCUUUGAUCUGCUAGAACUAGCAUGUGUGGAUUGGCAAAAGUGCGAAUGCACUUGGCGUAAUUAGUAGCGGUGAGGAUCUCCCACAAUAUUGAUAAAACUCUAUAAAAUAGGAAAUAACUCAAAUUAUUAUCAUAAUAUGUUGUGUACUCUCUUGGGGCUGUGUAUUGGGGCUCAAUACACAGUCAUAUGGUUGUGUAUAUAGCUGAACAUGUAUAUACCCUUACCAUUGUGUAUAUUCUGCCAUAUGAGGAAUUUCCUACAUAUAUACCAUCAACAUGAUUGUUUUAUUUGUACACAGAGAUAGACAUGCUCUAGGGAGUAACAUGAAGAAAACGUAGAAUCAGUAUAUAUAGGGAGUAACAUGAAGAAAACAUAGAAACAGGUCCCCUGAAAAUGCAUAUGUUGAAGGCGAUGCAUCAAGUACGAGUUAUUUCCUAGCAGGCGCAGCAGUCACCAGUGGCACUGUCACAGUUGAAGGUUGCAGCACAAGAAGUUUACAGCAUCAUACUGGCUGCAGUUGCUUCUCGUAAGGAACACAUAAAUCUGGAGCAAUGGCUGAACGAAAAUCUGAGCACAUACAAGGAUACUUUUUUUGAGGAUUGCCUCAAGUUCUUAAAAGAAAUACCUUUUGCAGCAACAAAUGAUGCAUCUGCCAAUCCUUUCCAACAUUCCAGCUCUGUCAUAAAUCUUUAUCUAGAGACAAGUUCUACUCUUUUAAAGGUCCUUCAAGCCCAUUCUGGCCAGCUCAUCUCCCACCAACUUUCUAAGGAAUUGAGAAGGUUGCAGGCAUCAUCUGUGCAUGCUAAUCCAAGACUGCAAAAUGGUGGAGCUACAGAUUCAUCAACACAUGAUGCAUCAUAUCUAAUUAUUCACUGGUCUCUUCAGAUCAACAG